rnacentral:rRNA from 1 species
UACGAAGGGGGCUAGCGUUGCUCGGAAUCACUGGGCGUAAAGCACACGUAGGCGGACUCUUAAGUCGGUGGUGAAAUCCUGGAGCUCAACUCCAGAACUGCCUUCGAUACUGGGAGUCUCGAGUUCGGGAGAGGUGAGUGGAACUGCGAGUGUAGAGGUGAAAUUCGUAGAUAUUCGCAAGAACACCAGUGGCGAAGGCGGCUCACUGGCCCGAUACUGACGCUGAGGUGCGAAAGCGUGGGGAGCAAACAGG